rnacentral:rRNA from 1 species
ACGGCUCAGUAACACGUGGACAACCUGCCCUUAGGUUGGGUAUAAACCCGGGAAACUGGGUAUAAUACCCGAUAGGUCUCGAUUGCUGGAAUGCAUCGAGAUUUAAAGCUCCGGCGCCUAAGGAUGGGUCUGCGGCCUAUCAGGUAGUAGUGGGUGUAGCGUACCUACUAGCCUACGACGGGUACGGGUUGUGAGAGCGAGAGCCCGGAGAUGGAUUCUGAGACACGAAUCCAGGCCCUACGGGGUGCAGCAGGCGCGAAAACUUUACAAUGCUGGCAACAGCGAUAAGGGAACCUCGAGUGCCAGGUUACAAAUCUGGCUGUCGAGAUGCCUAAAAAGCAUUUCAUAGCAAGGGCCGGGCAAGACCGGUGCCAGCCGCCGCGGUAACACCGGCGGCUCGAGUGGUAACCGUUAUUAUUGGGUCUAAAGGGUCUGUAGCCGGCCGGAUAAGUCUCUUGAGAAAUCUGGCAGCUUAACUGUCAGGCUUUCAGGAGAUACUGUCUGGCUCGAGGCCGGGAGAGGUGAGAGGUACUUCAGGGGUAGGGGUGAAAUCUUGUAAUCCUUGAAGGACCACCAGUGGCGAAGGCGUCUCACCAGAACGGACCUGACGGCAAGGGACGAAAGCUAGGGGCACGAACCGGAUUAGAUACCCGGGUAGUCCUAGCCGUAAACGAUACUCGCUAGGUGUCGGCCACGGUGCGACCGUUGUCGGUGCCGUAGGGAAGCCGUGAAGCGAGCCACCUGGGAAGUACGGCCGCAAGGCUGAAACUUAAAGGAAUUGGCGGGGGAGCAC